rnacentral:hammerhead_ribozyme from 1 species
AUCCACCUGACGAGUCCCAAAUAGGACGAA